rnacentral:misc_RNA from 1 species
AUCUGUGAAGAAUUACAUAUUGUUACAUUUAUUUUUUGGAGGUUUUCUUAAUGAAACAAGGUACAGUAAAAUGGUUUAACUCAGAAAAAGGUUUUGGAUUUAUCGAAGUUGACGGCGAAAACGACGUUUUCGUACACUUCUCAGCUAUCCAAGGCGACGGUUUCAAAACACUUGACGAAGGUCAAAAAGUGGAAUUCGAAGUUGUAGAAGGCAACCGCGGACCACAAGCUGCUAACGUAACAAAACUUUAAUCCUCG